rnacentral:rRNA from 1 species
GACGUAGGGGGCCAGCGUUGUUCGGAAUUACUGGGUGUAAAGGGUUCGUAGGCGGUGUGGCAAGUCGGGAGUGAAAUCUCUGGGCUCAACCCAGAGUCUGCUUCCGAAACUGCUGUGCUUGAGUGUGGGAGAGGCGCGUGGAAUUGCAGGUGUAGCGGUGAAAUGCGUAGAUAUCUGCAGGAACACCCGUGGCGAAAGCGGCGCGCUGGACCACUACUGACGCUGAGGAACGAAAGCUAGGGAAGCAAACAGG